GGAGGAGCCACAGAGCUCGUAAUUGCUGUGGGGAGGACAGGCCAGCUCUGGAAGAAAACAGGAGUUAAAUAAUUGAGCAAGCAUUACUAUUCUGGAGCAUUUCCAACCAGAAGAGGACCAAGGGAGCAGAGAGAGGGUUGUGGGGGCCAAGACAUAACCCAGACCAUCCUGACUGAUGCAAUAGCGCUCAGUGUCAUCUGCCAUUGUUAUUGCAGAGUUUUAAGCAGGGAUUUUUGUCUAUUUUUCAACAAAGUUCCUGCCUUUGAAGAAUACAUACUCUGUCAAAAGGAAGACAGAUCAUAAACAAGGAAGUGAUUGACAGAAAAGAUGAUUUAAGAGACUGACAGAUACUUCAAAGGAGAGAAAAUUAGAAGGGUUACAGUAGAGAGAGGCUAGGAGUGGUGGCCUUUUCAUGUGUAUGGUCAGGGAGGGCUUCUUGGAGAAGGUGACAUUUGCACUGAGACUUCAAGGAUGAGAAUGAUCAGUUACAUAAGGACCUCCAGGAAGAGUGUUUAAGGCAGAGGAAACAGCCUGUGCAAAGGCCCUGAGGUGGGAGCCUCCCUGGGGUACGGGAGGACACUAGGAGGUCAUUGUGGCUGCUGCAGAGUGAGUGAGGGGCAGGUGGGAGGGGACAAGGGCAGAGAGGCCACCGUUUCACUCUUAGUGAGGUGGAGCCGUGGGAGGGCUUUGAGACGGAAGGAAUGUGACCUGAGCUUGUUUCUUUUUCUUUUUUUCUUAACCGUUUUUUUUUUUUUUUUUUU